rnacentral:rRNA from 1 species
UGGGGAAUUUUGGACAAUGGGCGAAAGCCUGAUCCAGCAAUGCCGCGUGUGUGAAGAAGGCCUUCGGGUUGUAAAGCACUUUUGUCCGGAAAGAAAUCCUUGGCUCUAAUACAGUCGGGGGAUGACGGUACCGGAAGAAUAAGCACCGGCUAACUACGUGCCAGCAGCCGCGGUAAUACGUAGGGUGCAAGCGUUAAUCGGAAUUACUGGGCGUAAAGCGUGCGCAGGCGGUUUGCUAAGACCGAUGUGAAAUCCCCGGGCUCAACCUGGGAACUGCAUUGGUGACUGGCAGGCUAGAGUAUGGCAGAGGGGGGUAGAAUUCCACGUGUAGCAGUGAAAUGCGUAGAGAUGUGGAGGAAUACCGAUGGCGAAGGCAGCCCCUGGGCAAUACUGACGCUCAUGCACGAAAAGCGUGGGGAGCAAAACAGGAUUAGAUACCCUGGUAGUCCGCGCCCUAAACGAUGUCAACUAGUUUGUUGGGGGAUUCAUUUCCUUAGUAACGUAGCUAACGCGUGAAGUUGACCGCCUGGGGAGUACGGUCGCAAGAUUAAAACUUAAGGAAUUGACGGGGUCAUAGCUGUUUCCU